UACGUAGGGGGCAAGCGUUGUCCGGAAUCAUUGGGCGUAAAGAGCGUGUGGGCGGCUCGGUAAGUCCGCUGUGAAAGUCCAGGGCUCAACCCUGGAAUGCCGGUGGAAACUGUCGAGCUAGAGUCCGGAAGAGGCGAGUGGAAUUCCUGGUGUAGCGGUGAAAUGCGCAGAUAUCAGGAGGAACACCAAUGGCGAAGGCAGCUCGCUGGGACGGUACUGACGCUGAGACGCGAAAGCGUGGGGAGCAAACAGG
rnacentral:rRNA from 1 species